UACGUAGGGGGCAAGCGUUGUCCGGAUUUAUUGGGCGUAAAGAGCGUGUAGGCGGCCUGACAGGUCUGCUGUGAAAACUCGAGGCUCAACCUCGAGAUGUCGGCGGAAACCGUCUGGCUAGAGUCCGGAAGAGGAGUGUGGAAUUCCUGGUGUAGCGGUGAAAUGCGCAGAUAUCAGGAAGAACACCAAUGGCGAAGGCAGCACUCUGGGACGUGACUGACGCUGAGACGCGAAAAGCGUGGGGAGCAAACGGG
rnacentral:rRNA from 1 species